rnacentral:lncRNA from 1 species
UACAGACACUGCAAAAGAGGGAAUAUGUUCUAGUUGGCAACCCAAUCUCUUAGCAGUUCCUAUAUCAAUGAAAUUGUGAGCUGCCCUUGUGUCUAUCAGAACAUGGACCGUUUUCCCCCAAGAGCUGCCUUCACUCUUAUGUUCCUAUAGUCUACUGUUCCAUCCAUGGCAUGAACUGACGAGGAUUGAUAGAUGGAUCCUCCAAUUUAUCUUCUUUUAGACACAUAGGUUCAUCUAAACAUUCUUCUAAUUCACUCCCGUCUAUUUCCUCAUCCACCUAAAAAAUGAACAAAUUCUUCUCCUUUCUACAAUUAUGUCCUACAACAAAUUUUUCAUCACACCAAAAAUACAACCCUUUUGCUCUUUUAUCAUCCAUUUCUGACCCCGUCAAUCUUGUUGACC